rnacentral:rRNA from 1 species
GAUGAACGCUGGCGGCGUGCCUAAUACAUGCAAGUCGAGCGAACACACGAUGAGCUCGCUCCCCUAACGUUAGCGGCGGACGGGUGAGUAACACGUGGAUAACCUACCUAUAAGACUGGGAUAACUACGGGAAACCGGAGCUAAUACCGGAUAAUAUAUUGAACCGCAUGGAUCAAUAGUUAAAGACGGUUUUGCUGUUACUUAUAGAUGGAUUCGCGCCGCAUUAGUUAGUUGGUAAGGUAACGGCUUACCAAGGCGACGAUGCGUAGCCGACCUGAGAGGGUGAUCAGCCACACUGGAACUGAGACACGGUCCAGACUCCUACGGGAGGCAGCAGUAGGGAAUCUUCCGCAAUGGGCGAAAGCCUGACGGAGCAACGCCGCGUGAGUGAUGAAGGUCUUCGGAUCGUAAAACUCUGUUAUUGGGGAAGAACAAAUGUGUAAGUAAAUCUGCACGUCUUGACGGUACCUAAUCAGAAAGCAACGGCUAACUACGUG